rnacentral:tRNA from 1 species
GCGGGAGUGGUUCAGUGGUAGAAUUCCUGCCUUCCAAGCAGGCGAUGCGGGUUCGAUUCCCGUCUCCCGCU